rnacentral:rRNA from 1 species
UACGGAAGGCAGCAGUGGGGAAUAUUGCACAAUGGGCGCAAGCCUGAUGCAGCCAUGCCGCGUGUAUGAAGAAGGCCUUCGGGUUGUAAAGUACUUUCAGUCGUGAGGAAGGUGUUAAGGUUAAUAACCUUAGCAAUUGACGUUAGCGACAGAAGAAGCACCGGCUAACUCCGUGCCAGCAGCCGCGGUAAUACGGAGGGUGCGAGCGUUAAUCGGAAUUACUGGGCGUAAAGGGCACGCAGGCGGUUAAUUAAGUUGGAUGUGAAAUCCCCGGGCUUAACCUGGGAAUGGCAUUCAAGACUGGUUAGCUAGAGUCUUGUAGAGGGGGUAGAAUUCCAUGUGUAGCGGUGAAAUGCGUAGAGAUGUGGAGGAAUACCGGUGGCGAAGGCGGCCCCGUGGACAAAGGACUGACGCUCAUGUGCGAAAGCGUGGGGAGCAAACAGGGAUUAGAUACC